CCGAUCCGGGGAUCAUCUCCAAAAUUCUCGCCGGACUGGACAUGGAAUAUAAUCCUGUCGUCUCGGCGCUUGCUGCUCGGGUGGAACCGAUCACGGUUCAGGAGCUCUACAGCCAGCUCCUGAGCUUUGAUG
rnacentral:snoRNA from 1 species